CAAGUCGAACGCGAAAGUUCCCUUCGGGGAGCGAGUAGAGUGGCGUCCGGGUGAGUAACACGUGGGUAAUCUACCUUCGGGUGGGGAAUAACAGUCGGAAACGACUGCUAAUACCGCAUAAUGCAGCGGCACCUUAUGGUGACAGUUGUUAAAGCGGGGGAUCGCAAGACCUCGCGCCUGAAGAGGAGCCCGCGGCGGAUUAGCUAGUUGGCAGGGUAACGGCCUACCAAGGCGACGAUCCGUAGCCGGCCUGAGAGGGCGGUCGGCCACACUGGCACUGACACACGGGCCAGACUCCUACGGGAGGCAGCAGUCGGGAAUUUUGGGCAAUGGGCGAAAGCCUGACCCAGCAACGCCGCGUGAAGGAUGAAGCUUUUCGGAGUGUAAACUUCAUAAGAAUGGGACGAAUAAGGAGGGGAUAAUACCCCCUUUGAUGACGGUACCAUUUGUAAGCUCCGGCUAACUCCGUGCCAGCAGCCGCGGUAAUACGGGGGGAGCAAGCGUUGUUCGGAUUUACUGGGCGUAAAGGGCGCGUAGGCGGCGUGACAAGUCACUUGUGAAAUCUCCGGGCUUAACCCGGAGCGGCCAAGUGAUACUGUCGUGCUAGAGUGCGGAAGGGGCUACUGGAAUUCUCGGUGUAGCGGUGAAAUGCGUAGAUAUCGAGAGGAACACCUGCGGCGAAGGCGGGUAGCUGGGCCGACACUGACGCUGAUGCGCGAAAGCCAGGGGAGCGAACGGGAUUAGAUACCCCGGUAGUCCUGGCCUUAAACGAUGGAUACUUGGUGUCCGAGGUUACAUAGUCCUCGGGUGCCGGCGCUAACGCAUUAAGUAUCCC
rnacentral:rRNA from 1 species